GCUAGUCUUGCUGCCAUCUGGCAAGACUAGCAAUUGUGCACUAAUUGAUACAAGCGAUCUUACGUAUCAAUUGUGCACUAAUUGCAGACAUGGCUUUUUAUAUUUUUUUAUUAAAAAAAGAACGGAAAAAGAACAGACGAAAUCGAUUUCACGAAAGAGUUUUGGCCCCAUACGAAUUCGCAGAGGAGUUUUCGCCCCAACCAUUUUCAUCCAAAAUAUGAAUUUGAUGAGGAGAAAGCUCUAAACUUCAUCUCUUUCUGCUACCUCAAACUAUUAUUUGUGCUCUUCUAUUGCCACCCAGAUAUAUGCGGAGCAAGAUCACCUCUUUGUGCUCUUCUACUGCCAACCCACAAAGGAGCCCCAAUCAAUCUACGAAUUCAUUAUCAAGAGAGGGAGAAGCCGCCAUGGCAGCUCGCAAGAGAGCUUUAGCAUACGCAUCCACCACAUAACACAAAUCUCAAGACCCUACUCCAACGGAGCCUCCAACUACACCAAUAAUUUCAAAGUCGGGCUUCAGAAGGCUUCAUUCUGAAGCUUUCCCUCUUACUUUUGAGCCCAUACUUGUACCUCAUCUUCCACCCCUACAAGAUCGACAAGGACCUCAAGAAGUCAAUUGUCCUCAUGUAGAUGGAUGGGGGAGAAGAAGAAAGUUUUAGGUGUUAGUUAACCCAACCCAAUUCAACUCAUCACUUCAAACAUAAAAUAUAAUAAAGAAUUCAAUUUUUU